GCUAUCUUAGUCAAGUGGUUACGACGGUGGAUUCAAUGAAUCUCCGGCGGCCCUGGUCGUUGGGAGUUUUCGGAGCAGUCCCACUCCCGAAAGGGGCGAGAGUUCGAAUCUCUCAGAUAGCA